rnacentral:rRNA from 1 species
GACGAACGCUGGCGGCGUGCUUAACACAUGCAAGUCGAACGGAAAGGCCCUGCUUUUGUAGGGUGCUCGAGUGGCGAACGGGUGAGUAACACGUGAGUAACCUGCCCUUGACUUUGGGAUAACUUCAGGAAACUGGGGCUAAUACCGGAUAGGAGCUCCUGCUGCAUGGUGGGGGUUGGAAAGUUUCGGCGGUUGGGGAUGGACUCGCGGCUUAUCAGCUUGUUGGUGGGGUAGUGGCUUACCAAGGCUUUGACGGGUAGCCGGCCUGAGAGGGUGACCGGCCACAUUGGGACUGAGAUACGGCCCAGACUCCUACGGGAGGCAGCAGUGGGGAAUAUUGCACAAUGGGCGGAAGCCUGAUGCAGCAACGCCGCGUGCGGGAUGACGGCCUUCGGGUUGUAAACCGCUUUCGCCUGUGACGAAGCGUGAGUGACGGUAAUGGGUAAAGAAGCACCGGCUAACUGCGUG